GAUGAACGCUGGCGGCGUGCCUAAUACAUGCAAGUCGAGCGAACAGAUGAGGAGCUUGCUCCUCUGACGUUAGCGGCGGACGGGUGAGUAACACGUGGAUAACCUACCUAUAAGACUGGGAUAACUUCGGGAAACCGGAGCUAAUACCGGAUAAUAUUUUGAACCGCAUGGUUCAAUAGUGAAAGACGGUUUUGCUGUCACUUAUAGAUGGAUCCGCGCCGCAUUAGCUAGUUGGUAAGGUAACGGCUUACCAAGGCGACGAUGCGUAGCCGACCUGAGAGGGGGAUCGGCCACACUGGAACUGAAGAACGGGCCAGGAUCCUUAGGGAGGCAGCAGUAGGGAAUCUUGCGCAAAGGGCGGAAGCUUUACGGGGGAACGCCGCGUGAGUGGAGAAGGUCUUCGGAUCGUAAAACUCUGUUAAUAGGGAAAAACAAAUGUGGAAGUAAAUAGGCACGUCUUGACGGUACCUAAUCAGAAAACCACGGCUAACUACGUG
rnacentral:rRNA from 1 species